rnacentral:rRNA from 1 species
CCUACGGGAGGCAGCAGUGGGGAAUAUUGCGCAAUGGGCGAAAGCCUGACGCAGCGACGCCGCGUGAGGGAUGAAGGUCUUCGGAUCGUAAACCUCUGUCAGCAGGGAAGAACGGUCACUGUGCUAAUCAGCAGUGAAUUGACGGUACCUGCAAAGGAAGCACCGGCUACCUCCGUGCCAGCAGCCGCGGUAAUACGGAGGGUGCGAGCGUUAAUCGGAAUUAUUGGGCGUAAAGCGCGCGUAGGCGGUAUGUUAAGUCAAGGGUGAAAUCCCCGCGCUCAACGUGGGAACUGCCUUUGAAACUGGCAAACGUGAGUGUGUGAGAGGAUAGUGGAAUUCCAGGUGUAGGAGUGAAAUCCGUAGAUAUCUGGAGGAACAUCAGUGGCGAAGGCGACUAUCUGGCACAUAACUGACGCUGAGGAGCGAAAGCGUGGGUAGCAAACAGGAUUAGAUACCCGUGUAGUC